GUCUGCACUCUAUCCAUAGUUCUCCAUACCAUCGAAUUAGAGCAAAAACAAAAAGGGUUGUAACUGACAAAGCAGCAUGGUUUAUGUUUGGUGCUCUCACUGCCUUAAUUUUUGCAGGAUGGCUGUCCACCAUGGCUUCAUUUUAAGUGCAGAUCCUGUUCAAUAUGUGGAAAGGUGUUAGAUGAAGUAAGUAAAAAGAAGGUUUCAAUGAUAAAGAGGAAGAAUACAAGGUUUAAAAGGACCAAAAGGCUGGGUAAAAGAAGACCAGUGCUUUGAUUGAUUCUUUCUUAUUAUACCUACAAAGUUGGAUCAAUUCUCCCCAUCCAAAUUAGAGAAUUUGACCCCAAUUUAUAUAUUUAUGUAUGCAUACUCUGAUUCUUUUAUUCAAAUAAAUUGUAUAUGAAGGCGAAUGGAAAAUAACAUUUGAUUAGA